CUGCUUGGCCGAUUUUGGCACUAGCACAUUUUUGCUUGUGUCUCUCCGCUCUGAGCAAUCAUGUGCAGUGCCAAUAUGGGAAAAGC
ensembl:miRNA MIR96 microRNA 96